rnacentral:rRNA from 1 species
GAUGAACGCUGGCGGCGUGCUUAACACAUGCAAGUCGAACGAGAAGUGAAGACGGAAACCUUCGGGCGGAAGGCUUUAUUUCGAGUGGCGGACGGGUGAGUAACGCGUGGGUAACCUGCCUCAUACAGGGGGAUAACAGUUGGAAACGACUGUUAAUACCGCAUAAGACCACAGCACCGCAUGGUGCGGGGGUAAAAACUCCGGUGGUAUGAGAUGGACCCGCGUUCGAUUAGCCAGUUGGCGGGGUAACGGCCCAAAGCGACGAUCGAUAGCCGAUCUGAGAGGAUGACCGGCCACAUUGGGACUGAGACACGGCCCAAACUCCUACGGGAGGCAGCAGUGGGGAAUAUUGCACAAUGGGGGAAACCCUGAUGCAGCGACGCCGCGUGAGUGAAGAAGUAUUUCGGUAUGUAAAGCUCUAUCAGCAGGGAAGAAAAUGACGGUACCUGAGUAAGAAGCCCCGGCUAACUACGUG